GGUGAGGUAGCUCAGGCGGUUAGAGCGACGGAUUCAUAACCCGUAGGUCGAGGGUUCGAUUCCCUCCCUCACCACCA
rnacentral:tRNA from 2 species